CCUACGGGUGGCAGCAGUGGGGAAUAUUGCACAAUGGGGGAAACCCUGAUGCAGCAACGCCGCGUGAAGGAAGACGGUUCUCUGAUUGUAAACUUCUGUUCUUAGUGAAGAAUAAUGCCGGUAGCUACGGAUCUAGCCACGGCCAACUACGUGCCAGCAGCCGCGGUCAUACGUAGGUGGCAAGCGUUGUCCGGAAUUACUGGGUGUAAAGGGAGCGCAGGCGGGAAGCCAAGUCAGCUGUGAAAACUCCGGGCUUAACUUGUAGACUGCAGUUGAAACUGGUGUUCUUGAGUGAAGUAGAGGUUGGCGGAAUUCCGAGUGUAGCGGUGAAAUGCGUAGAUAUUCGGAGGAACACCGGUGGCGAAGGCGGCCAACUGGGCUUUAACUGACGCUGAGGCUCGAAAGUGUGGGGAGCAAACAGGAUUAGAUACCCUUGUAGUC
rnacentral:rRNA from 1 species